rnacentral:rRNA from 1 species
GGGUUGUGAGGUUAAGCGACUAAGCGUACACGGUGGAUGCCCUGGCAGUCAGAGGCGAUGAAGGACGUGCUAAUCUGCGAUAAGCGUCGGUAAGGUGAUAUGAACCGUUAUAACCGGCGAUUUCCGAAUGGGGAAACCCAGUGUGAUUCGUCACACUAUCGUUAACUGAAUACAUAGGUUAACGAAGCGAACCGGGGGAACUGAAACAUCUAAGUACCCCGAGGAAAAGAAAUCAACCGAGAUUCCCCCAGUAGCGGCGAGCGAACGGGGAGGAGCCC